rnacentral:rRNA from 1 species
AAAUGAAUUGACGGGGGCCCGCACAAGCGGUGGAGUAUGUGGUUUAAUUCGACGCAACGCGAAGAACCUUACCAGCUCUUGACAUGUCCAUUAUGGGUCUGAGAGAUCAGAUCCUUCGGUUCGGCCGGGUGGAACACAGGUGCUGCAUGGCUGUCGUCAGCUCGUGUCGUGAGAUGUUGGGUUAAGUCCCGCAACGAGCGCAACCCUCAUCUUCAGUUGCUACCAGGUUAUGCUGGGCACUCUGGAGAAACUGCCGGUGAUAAGCCGGAGGAAGGCGGGGAUGACGUCAAGUCCUCAUGGCCCUUACGGGCUGGGCUACACACGUACUACAAUGGUGGUGACAGUGGGCAGCGAAGGCGCGAGCCGGAGCCAAUCCCCAAAAACCAUCUCAGUUCGGAUUGCACUCUGCAACUCGAGUGCAUGAAGUUGGAAUCGCUAGUAAUCGCGGAUCAGCACGCCGCGGUGAAUACGUUCCCGGGCCUUGUACACACCGCCCGU